GAUGAACGCUGGCGGCGUGCCUAAUACAUGCAAGUCGAGCGAACAGACGGGGAGUUCCUUCCUUUGACGUUAGCGGCGGACGGGUGAGUAAGUAGUGGGUAACCUACCUGUAAGACACGGCUAACUACGGGAAACCGGAGCUAAUACCGGCUGAUAUAUUGAACUGCAUGGCACCAUAGUGAAACGCGAGUUUGCUGUCUCUUAUAGAGGGAUCCGCGCCGCAUUAGCUAGUUGGUAAGGUCACGGCUUACCAAGGCCACGAUGCGUGGCGGACCUGAGAGGGUGAGCAGCCACCCUACACCUGAGACACGGUCCAGACCCCACCGGGAGGCAGCGGAGGGGAAUCUUACACAAUGGGCGAAAGGCUAGCGGAGCAAAGCCGCGUGGGUGAUGAAGGUCUUCGGAUCUUAAAACUCUGCUGUUAGGGAGGAACAAAUGUGUGAGUAACUAUGCACGUCUUGACGGUACCUAAUGAGAAAGCCACGGCUAACUACGUG
rnacentral:rRNA from 1 species